CAUGAUGACGGGAAACAUUCUUAUCGUAGGAAGGCGCAUGGGCAAGGCGGCGUAGCCGUCUGGCGAAAGCUCCCAUGCGCGAAACACAGGCUCCUUCGGGGGCCUUUUUUAUUGGCCCGGU
rnacentral:sRNA from 1 species